ACAGGGCCUCGACAUGUUGAUGUUAGCAUACACAUCAUUAAUGUUUUAUUUUUUGGUUUACUUUGGUUCAAGAUUUGUUUCUCCCGAUCUGGUGAUAUAUAUAUUUAUUAGUGUUUGCUCACUAAUCGAUAUUUUGUUCAAUAUUGUCUUCAUUGUGGCUGGACAUAAGAAAAGUAUUAAGUUGCUGAAAGUGUCUUACGUGUACAACAUGGUAUGCUUGGGUUUGUUGACAUUAGGAACCUGCUUCAUACUAUAUUCAGACAUCGAUUUCAUACACAAAAUAUGGUCAUACAUCGAAGACCACAAGUACAUAAUAUUAGAAGUGCUUACAGGCUCUGGACUGGGGAUAUGCCUUAUAUUUAUACAAGUUUACAUAAUCUUGCUGAUACGUAGCGAAAUUGGAAAGCUAGAGAACCAGACGCUAGAAAUGCAGUUCACGAAUCACGCAGCCUCAGAAGAGCCGCUGUGCACAGUUCACAACGUAUCUGACACAAACCAGUGCACAGACAAGAAACAAACCGUGCAAGACAUUUGCACGAACGAGAAAUAAGGCGUCAGCGACUGGAUAGUGUAAAUCGU